AAACCGAAUUCGAUUCAGUCCUCCAGCCUUAGGGUUCAGAGAGCUCUGAUCUAGCUAGCUGAGGGAACAAUUCACUGUUUAAUACAAUCACAGAAGUAAUAAGAGAAUGCAUCUUGUCAAAUAAUUCAGACAAUACAGAUGCGUACAGUGUAAGAAGCAAAAGUCCUUGUUCUCUGUUUGGGGAGGAUUCCUUCUGAUGUUUUUCUAUGGCAACGCACUUUCAGAAUGGACACUCAUCUCCUCUUCCUUCUCUACAACUUCCAUUGCAUUGACCUGGCAAGACGGAUUCCUCUAAUAGGCAGCAUGGGAACUCCUUCUGUUUGGGAAGGAGAUCCCUGAACAGGCAGCAAUGAGCUUCUAUAGGAGGAAUGUGCACGAAGGAAGUGGGCUGAGAAACCUGCAUAGCUGAAGAGCCUCUUGGGAGACAAGGUUCAAUGAGAAUCAUCAAAUGUUUCAAGUAUGGAAACGACACGAUCUGAUGUGGAGAUGGCUGGCAUCUCAAACACAACACGUCUCAAAUGAAUGCAUCAUCUUACACUGCAAGUUUACUUUCCUUGUGUUCCUUAUUUCAGGAAUGGCACCUGAUUUCCUAAUCUAGAAACCUUAGCAUUAUCAGGACUCAGUGCUCUCCUUCACUCCUCCAGAACCAAUGAUUAAAUACUGCCCAUUUUGCUUCAUAAAUGCGUCUCAACUUUUCUCCAUUCUCAAUGCUACUACCUUGAAACACGCCUGUAGCAUCUCUUACUUGGACUCUUAUAACUGUCUCAUAACGGUCUUCCUGAUAUCUCCCAGCUCAUUUUCUCAGGCAGAGUAAUUGUUCUGAAAUGCAAAUCUUAAGGUGUCACUUUAUUACUUAAAAACUCUACACUGGCUCUCCAUUGCUCUUAGGAUAAAUAGCUAUUUCUUCAACAUGGAACAAAAUGACCCCUCAUAAUCUGGCUUUUUCCAGUUUCAUCCCCUCCACUCCUCAUUCCCCAGCCCCACCCCCAUCCCAACCAUAUGGGUUGUCUUUUGUUUCUUGAAAAGCUUCACAUGGGACUUCCCUGGCAGUCCAGUGGUUAAGACUCUGCGCUUCCACUGCAGGGUUCCACCAGGGCACUGGUUCAAUCCCUGGUCAGGGAACGAAGAUCCUGCAUGCUACAAUGCAGGCCAAAAAAACAAACCAAACCAAAACAAAAAAAAGCCAAAACAAACAAACAAAAAAAGAACCUUUAAAGUUCAGGUUGGGAUAUGAACCACAGGGGGAAGGAGUGGCUAGAGGGAAGGGGGAGAUGGACAUGGUAUAAUUAGCAAUAUGCCUAA